UCUCUCUUGGUCCCAGGGAUCAAAACCACCUUGUCAGACUUUGAGGCAAACAUCACUUUCCACUGAGCCACCCAGCUGGCUCAGCUUUGAAGAUUUUACUCUAAGGUAAUUUUGAAUAUUAAUUCCGAUGUGCUCUGAGGACACAUGAGUAAAAGGAACACUGGGCCAAAGAAUAUUUGAAAUAUUUGAAUAUUUGAAAGUAAUCUUUUGAUAACAUCUGACACAGCAUCCAGCCUUGAUUUUUACUUUAUUUUAUAUUUUAUUGUAUUAUCAGUAGUUUACCUUGUUAUUGAACCCAGGGUCUCCCACAUUCUAGGCAAGCAUUGUGCCAAAGCCAUACAGUCUCAAAGGACUGGCUUUCUCAAAUAUUUGCUUUUAAGAAAGAAUUUCAUUACCAUAUUUUCAUGGCUAGGGAGAAAAUUCCAGGCAUCUUUGCUACAUGAUUUUAAAUAACCUGAUUAAAUAUUUCAGUGCUCUAAACAAAAUGAUCAAAUGUGUGAUAUGAGUAAUGAAAGAAGGGGUGAAAACAACAAACAGAUGACACAUUAAUGAGAAGUCUAAUUUUGGAAGCAUUGUGUCUAGAAUAAAAAAAUUAAUAGAGUAUAACUAAAUAGAUAAAAAGGUAUUCAUAUAUGUCUUGCACAUAGAAAAGAUACAUUUGAACAAAUUAUUUCAGUAUAACACAGCCAACAUAUAAAUUUUCAGUUCUAAAUAUCUCCAACAUUGCAGCAUAAUUUCAAUAAAAAUGAAUAGUGUCUCAGGAAUGCGCAAGUUUUAACGCUAUUGACAGAUAUGUGAGAAACACACACUUGCUUUGAUUGAGUUAAAAGAGAAAAUGCUGUUUGAAAAUGAAGAAUGUUUAAAGUUCAGUAUGGGGUCACCAUAGUCUUCCCUGGAAAAAUCUUAAGUAGUACCCCAAUGUUAUGAAAAUGCUAUCAGUAAAUAUUUUCAUCAUGAGCAAAAUAAUUUUUGUGGUUCUUCAGGAUAAGAUGAGUCGCUAUAGUACACCUCUGAUGAGGUACUAUAGGUUCAAAAGAACCAGAUGCAUACACACUCUCUCCGUGGAUUUGGGCAGGUCAGUGGAAACCUUAUUACAGCUUUGUUUUCAGUUCUUUGUCGUUCUCAACCUCAGGACUUCUGUGCACAUCCUUGUGCUCGCCUUUCUUUUCUGUGAGCUUCAUCUCUGGAUGUUCAGUCUCUGCAAAGUCAAUUUCCCCAGGCAGUUGGAUCUUCCUCAUAAGUAUUAGAAUGAAGAUCCCCGGGAUGAAACUUGAUCCUCUUAGAGCUGCUGGCAACCCAAGCCACAAACAUCAUGAAACCAUAUCCAUGUUGGAACCUGAUAUUUGGAUGCCCUAAAUCUGUGUUCACACUAUGGUGGCUCAUGUUUGAUUCCAGAAUAAACCCUGUUAUUUCUUCUAAGGAAAACUCAGAUGAUAUAAGGAUAUCAACUGAGCAUGCUGCUUUGGAACAGAGGCACCUGGAGUAGUGAAGGAGAAAGGAGAUGCCAUGUAAUCACAUCAGCUGAAUCAGCCUGGAAUAUGGUAGAAUGAUAGAUGUCACAACCAAUUCUCCCUCACUUGUAAGAAUAACAAGCAAGACUUGGUGCAUUUUUCUGUCCAUGAACCUACAAACAAGGCAUAUACCAUAUCCCCAUUUGUAUGGACAUAAUAAUAUAACAUCUUACCAUGGAAAAUGAAAAUAGAAGGAUGAAUAUCUAGCUUGUUCUAGAGAGUGUCUAUGAAGGGUAGAAGCAGGGGAAAGGAAGAACCAAGGGGGGAAUGGGAAAGAUAGAAAGAGAAAAGAAAGGGAGCAGAGAAGACAGAA